CCUACGGGGGGCUGCAGUGGGGAAUAUUGGACAAUGGGGGGAACCCUGAUCCAGCCAUGCCGCGUGUGUGAAGAAGGCCCUCGGGUUGUAAAGCACUUUCAGUGAGGAAGAACGCCUGGUGGUUAAUACCCAUCAGGAAAGACAUCACUCACAGAAGAAGCACCGGCUAACUCCGUGCCAGCAGCCGCGGUAAUACGGAGGGUGCGAGCGUUAAUCGGAAUUACUGGGCGUAAAGCGCGCGUAGGUGGCUUGAUAAGCCGGUUGUGAAAGCCCCGGGCUCAACCUGGGAACGGCAUCCGGAACUGUCAAGCUAGAGUGCAGGCGAGGAAGGUAGAAUUCCCGGUGUAGCGGUGAAAUGCGUAGAGAUCGGGAGGAAUACCAGUGGCGAAGGCGGCCUUCUGGACUGACACUGACACUGAGGUGCGAAAGCGUGGGUAGCAAACAGGAUUAGAUACCCCUGUAGUC
rnacentral:rRNA from 1 species